rnacentral:rRNA from 1 species
GGCCGCGGGAAUUCGAUUCAGGCCUAACACAUGCAAGUCGAGCGGUAACAGGAGAAGCUUACUUCUCGCUGACGAGCGGCGGACGGGUGAGUAAUACUUAGGAAUCUGCCCAGUAGUGGGGGAUAGCUCAGGGAAACUCGAAUUAAUACCGCAUACACCCUACGGGGAAAAGGGGGCGCUUGCGCUCUCGCUAUUGGAUGAGCCUAAGUCGGAUUAGCUAGUUGGUGGGGUAAAGGCCUACCAAGGCGACGAUCUGUAGCUGGUCUGAGAGGAUGAUCAGCCACACCGGGACUGAGACACGGCCCGGACUCCUACGGGAGGCAGCAGUGGGGAAUAUUGGACAAUGGGGGCAACCCUGAUCCAGCCAGGCCGCGUGUGUGAAGAAGGCCUUUUGGUGUAAAGCAAAGAAGCAGUGAAGAAGACCUAACGGUUAAUACCCGUUAGCGAUGACAUAGUGCAGAAUAGCC